UCCUACGGGAGGCAGCAGUGGGGAAUAUUGCACAAUGGGCGCAAGCCUGAUGCAGCCAUGCCGCGUGUGUGAAGAAGGCCUUCGGGUUGUAAAGCACUUUAAGUUGGGAGGAAAAGCUUGGGGUUAAUAGCCUUAAGUGUUGACGUUACCAACAGAAGAAGCACCGGCUAACUCCGUGCCAGCAGCCGCGGUAAU
rnacentral:rRNA from 1 species